rnacentral:rRNA from 1 species
UACAGGGGGGCAAGCGUUGUUCGGAAUUACUGGGCGUAAAGGGCUCGUAGGUGGCCGACUAAGUCAGACGUGAAAUCCCUCAGCUUAACUGGGGAACUGCGUCUGAUACUGGAUGGCUUGAGUUUGGGAGAGGGAUGCGGAAUUCCAGGUGUAGCGGUGAAAUGCGUAGAUAUCUGGAGGAACACCGGUGGCGAAGGCGGCAUCCUGGACCAACACUGACACUGGAGGAGCGAAAGCCAGGGGAGCAAACGGG